AACGAACGCUGGCGGCAGGCUUAACACAUGCAAGUCGAACGCAUGCCUUCGGGCAUGAGUGGCAGACGGGUGAGUAACGCGUGGGAACCUACCCCUUGGUACGGGAUAGCUCCGGGAAACUGGAGAUAAUACCGUAUGUGUCCUGAGGGACAAAGAUUCAUCGCCAAGGGAUGGGCCCGCGUCGGAUUAGCUAGUUGGUGGGGUAACGGCCUAUCAAGGCGACGAUCCGUAGCUGGUCUAAGAGGAUGAUCAGCCACAUUGGGACUGAGACACGGCCCAAACUCCUACGGGAGGCAGCAGUGGGGAAUAUUGGACAAUGGGCGCAAGCCUGAUCCAGCCAUGCCGCGUGAGUGAUGAAGGCCCUAGGGUUGUAAAGCUCUUUCACCGGUGACGAUAAUGACGGUAACCGGAGAAGAAGCCCCGGCUAACUUCGUG
rnacentral:rRNA from 1 species